CUGGGCGUAAAGAGCUCGUAGGUGGUUUGUCGCGUUGUUCGUGAAAUCUCACGGCUUAACUGUGAGCGUGCGGGCGAUACGGGCAGACUUGAGUACUGCAGGGGAGACUGGAAUUCCUGGUGUAGCGGUGGAAUGCGCAGAUAUCAGGAGGAACACCGGUGGCGAAGGCGGGUCUCUGGGCAGUAACUGACGCUGAGGAGCGAAAGCGUGGGGAGCGAACAGGAUUAGAUACCCUGGUAGUCCACGCCGUAAACGGUGGGUACUAGGUGUGGGUUUCCUUCCUUGGGAUCCGUGCCGUAGCUAACGCAUUAAGUACCCCGCCUGGGGAGUACGGCCGCAAGGCUAAAACUCAAAGAAAUUGACGGGGGCCCGCACAAGCGGCGGAGCAUGUGGAUUAAUUCGAUGCAACGCGAGGAACCUUACCUGGGUUUGACAUGCACAGGACGCCGGCAGAGAUGUCGGUUCCCUUGUGGCCUGUGUGCAGGUGGUGCACGGCUGUCGUCAGCUCGUGUCGUGAGAUGUUGGGUUAAGUCCCGCAACGAGCGCAACCCUUGUCUCAUGUUGCCAGCGGGUAAUGCCGGGGACUCGUGAGAGACUGCCGGGGUCAACUCGGAGGAAGGUGGGGAUGACGUCAAGUCAUCAUGCCCCUUAUGUCCAGGGCUUCACACAUGCUACAAUGGCCGGUACAAAGGGCUGCGAUGCCGCGAGGUUAAGCGAAUCCUUUUAAAGCCGGUCUCAGUUCGGAUCGGGGUCUGCAACUCGACCCCGUGAAGUCGGAGUCGCUAGUAAUCGCAGAUCAGCAACGCUG
rnacentral:rRNA from 1 species